rnacentral:rRNA from 1 species
CCUACGGGUGGCAGCAGUGAGGAAUAUUGGUCAAUGGGCGUAAGCCUGAACCAGCCAAGUCGCGUGAGGGAUGAAGGUUCUAUGGAUCGUAAACCCCUUUUAUUAGGGAAUAAAGUGCGGGACGUGUCCCGUUUUGUAUGUACCUUAUGACUAAGCAUCGGCUAACUCCGUGCCAGCAGCCGAGGUAAUACGGAGGAUCCCAGCGUUUUACGGAUUUAUUGGGUUUAAAGGGUGCGUAGGCGGCCGUUUAAGUCAGAGGUGAAAGUUUUGGGUUGAACCUUUAAAUUGCCGUUGAAACUGGGAGGCUUGAGGAUGGAUGAGGCAAGGGGAAUGCGUGGUGUAGCGGUGAAAUGCGUAGAGAUGAGGAAGAACACCGAUGGCGAAGGCAGCUUGCCGGGCCAUGACUGACGCUGAUGCACGAAAGCGUGGGGAUCAAACAGGAUUAGAUACCCCAGUAGUC